rnacentral:rRNA from 1 species
AAACGACUCUCGGCAACGGAUAUCUCGGCUCUCGCAUCGAUGAAGAACGCAGCAAAAUGCGAUACUUGGUGUGAAUUGCAGAAUCCCGUGAAUCAUCGAGUUUUUGAACGCAAGUUGCGCCCGAAGCCUUCUGGCCGAGGGCACGUCUGCCUGGGUGUCACGCAACCAUUGCCUCCAUCCCCUCAUCAAAAGGGUUGUGGAAGCGGAUAUUGGCCUCCCGUGCGGCUCCCUCCCGCGGUUGGCCUAAAAACUCGGUUCAUGGCUGCAUGGCCACGGCAAUCGGUGGCUGUAAGACCCUCUGACAUCGCCGUGCGCGCUUAGCUGUCCAUGAGAAACCAUUGAGACCCUGAUGCUGCCAUCCAAAUGCGACCCCAGGUCAGGCGGGACUACCCGCUGAGUUUAAGCAUAUCAAUAAGCGGAGGAAAAGAAACUUACCAGGAUUCCCUUAGUAACGGCGAGCGAACCGGGAAUAGCCC